GUGAGGAAUAUUGCGCAAUGGAGGCAACUCUGACGCAGCCAUGCCGCGUGCAGGAAGAAGGCGCUACGCGUUGUAAACUGCUUUUAACCGGGAAGAAACCCCAGGACGUGUCCUGGGUUGACGGUACCGGAGGAAUAAGCACCGGCUAACUUCGUGCCAGCAGCCGCGGUAAUACGAAGGGUGCAAGCGUUAUCCGGAUUCAUUGGGUUUAAAGGUUGCGUAGGCGGAGCGUUAAGUCAGUGGUGAAAUCCUGCAGCUUAACUGUAGACUUGCCAUUGAUACUGGCGCUCUUGAGUGCGCUUGAAGUGGGCGGAAUGUGCCGUGUAGCGGUGAAAUGCUUAGAUAUGGCACAGAACACCAAUUGCGAAGGCAGCUCACUAAGGCGAUACUGACGCUGAGGCACGAAAGCGUGGGGAUCGAACAGGAUUAGAUACCCUAGUAGUCC
rnacentral:rRNA from 1 species